rnacentral:rRNA from 1 species
CACGUAGUUAGCCGUGGCUUUCUGGUUGGAUACCGUCACUGCAUGAGCAGUUACUCUCACACACGUUCUUCUCCAACAACAGAGUUUUACGACCCUAAAGCCUUCAUCACUCACGCGGCGUUGCCCCAUCAGACUUUCGUCCAUUGUGGAAGAUUCCCUACUGCUGCCUCCCGUAGGAGUCUGGGCCGUGUCUCAGUCCCAAUGUGGCCGAUUACCCUCUCAGGUCGGCUACGUAUCACAGCCUUGGUGGGCCUUUAUCUCACCAACUAGCUAAUACGCCGCGGGUCCAUCCAGAAGUGAUAGCCGAAGCCAUCUUUUAAAAGAAACCAUGCGGUUUACUUUAUUAUGCGGUAUUAGCAUCUGUUUCCAGGUGUUAUCCCCCACUUCUGGGCAGGUUACCCACGUGUUACUCACCCGUUCGCCACUCACUUUAUAGUUAAAAUCAUCUUCGAUGCAAGCAUCUCUAAAUCAUUCAACGAAAGUGCGUCGACUUGCAUGUAUUA